rnacentral:rRNA from 1 species
AUUCAGAGUUUGAUCCUGGCUCAGAACGAACGCUGGCGGCAAGCUUAACACAUGCAAGUCGAACGGACCGUAUACGCAGCUUGCUGCGUGUAUGGUUAGUGGCAGACGGGUGAGUAAUGCAUAGGAAUCUACCUAGUAGUAUGGGAUAGCCACUAGAAAUGGUGGGUAAUACUGUAUAAUCCCUGCGGGGGAAAGAUUUAUCGCUAUUAGAUGAGCCUAUGUCAGAUUAGCUAGUUGGUGGGGUAAUGGCCUACCAAGGCGGUGAUCUGUAGCUGGUCUGAGAGGAUGAUCAGCCACACUGGAACUGAGACACGGUCCAGACUCCUACGGGAGGCAGCAGUGGGGAAUAUUGGACAAUGGGCGCAAGCCUGAUCCAGCUAUGCCGCGUGAGUGAGGAAGGCCUUAGGGUUGUAAAACUCUUUCAGUAGGGAAGAUAA